rnacentral:rRNA from 1 species
UACAGAGGGGGCAAGCGUUGUUCGGAAUUACUGGGCGUAAAGGGCGCGUAGGCGGCCUUCUAAGUCAGACGUGAAAUCCCUCGGCUCAACCGGGGAACUGCGUCUGAGACUGGAAGGCUUGAAUCCGGGAGAGGGAUGUGGAAUUCCAGGUGUAGCGGUGAAAUGCGUAGAUAUCUGGAGGAACACCGGUGGCGAAGGCGGCGUUCUGGACUGCUACUGACACUGAGGAACGAAAGCCAGGGGAGCAAACGGG